rnacentral:lncRNA from 1 species
AAGAUAGAUUUUAGAAUAUUGUGUUACAUGUCAUGUCAUUGUUUCAAAAUAAUGUAGGUAUUGUGUAGCUUUAUCCGACUGCUUAAGAGGGCUAUCACAAAUUUUCGAGUUUUAUACGAGUUUUGAUGCGUCAUUAUGCUUUGGAUAUAGUCACAAAAAAAAAAAAAAAUAAGAUUAAGAAAGUUUGAUCAUUUAUCUUGGGGCUGUUUUCAAUAAAUAUUUUAAUUUGUCCACGUACAUCAGUAAAAUCUUUGUCUCUGCAAAGGAUGUUUCAUAAAAUGUUGCUUUUGGGAAUCUUUUGAUGCUUCAGUACUACGAGGAUAUAGCAAUUUAACCAUUUAUAAAAAUGUUCAAGAUACAACUAUAUCUUGUACUUGUGCUUGCUUACACCAAUUUAUUACAAUUCAUACAGUAAUACACCAAAAAUAAUUCUAUAAAACUGAGAGUUACUGACAAUUUUCCGUACAAAACUAUAUUUUUUAUCUAUGGAAGUAUAAUCCAAAUUCAAAUAAAACAUAUUUAAUAAUUAAGGUGGUAUUGUUAUAAAGCUUGAAAAAAAAAAUUGGUCUAUUUAAAAGUAAAACAAUAUUUUAAAAUAAUUUUUGUUUGCAAUGCAAAAAUCAAUAUAAAUCUUGUGACGCGCGGUGUUCAACUUUAGUCAGCGCCAAGCGCUUAUCGAGGGAGGACGUAUCGCUCGCUGUUGCGCCGCGCAAACUCGCCGGAGCUCGAAAAAUAUAGCGCAACCUGCGCAACGAACUCGUUUUGAUACUAGAUAAUGAAAGCAUAUUUAAUUCAGAUUAUCAGACUCAAUCGGAUACCAGUACAAAUAAUAUGGAAAAUGAAGAUACAAUACAUGGAAGACGAAUUAUAGAUUUUAGUUUUUUUAUAAAUCAAUUACUUAUACCUAAUUGAUAAACAUGGUAAAAAGUUUGGUUGUAGAUUAAAUAAUUUAAAAAUUGUAAACGAUUUUUUGUUUAU